UAUAUACAUAUGUGUGAGUGUGUGUGCGUAUGUAUAUAUAUAUAUUCACACACACAUACACACUCACACAUAUGUAUAUA
rnacentral:pre_miRNA from 1 species